UACGUAGGGAGCAAGCGUUGUCCGGAUUUACUGGGUGUAAAGGGUGCGUAGGCGGCUUUGCAAGUCAGAAGUGAAAUCUAUGGGCUUAACCCAUAAACUGCUUUUGAAACUGCAGGGCUUGAGUGAAGUAGAGGUAGGCGGAAUUCCCGGUGUAGCGGUGAAAUGCGUAGAGAUCGGGAGGAACACCAGUGGUGAAGGCGGCCUACUGGGCUUUAACUGACGCUGAGGCACGAAAGCGUGGGUAGCAAACAGG
rnacentral:rRNA from 1 species